rnacentral:lncRNA from 1 species
UGUGCGCCUUUUCCUAAAUUCCUUUUUUUUUGUUCUCCAGAUCCCACCUUUGUUGUCCCCUUGAUUUCACAACCCCAAUUUUUAUAAUCCUUUAUCCAACACCCACUUUUUGUAACCUCAACAUCACCCCUCUAUAUAUUCCACUUCGAGGGCUACUUGCAAGAUUCAUUUUGAUCAAGAUGGAUUUUAUGCCCAAAACUA